rnacentral:rRNA from 1 species
GACGAACGCUGGCGGCGUGCCUAAUACAUGCAAGUUGAGCGAUGAAGAUUGGUGCUUGCACCAAUUUGAAGAGCAGCGAACGGGUGAGUAACGCGUGGGGAAUCUGCCUUUGAGCGGGGGACAACAUUUGGAAACGAAUGCUAAUACCACAUAACAACUCUAAACAUAAGUUUUAAGUUUGAAAGAUGCAAUUGCAUCACUCAAAGAUGAUCCCGCGUUGUAUUAGCUAGUUGGUGAGGUAAAGGCUCACCAAGGCGAUGAUACAUAGCCGACCUGAGAGGGUGAUCGGCCACAUUGGGACUGAGACACGGCCCAAACUCCUACGGGAGGCAGCAGUAGGGAAUCUUCGGCAAUGGACGAAAGUCUGACCGAGCAACGCCGCGUGAGUGAAGAAGGUUUUCGGAUCGUAAAACUCUGUUGGUAGAGAAGAACGUUGGUGAGAGUGGAAAGCUCAUCAAGUGACGGUAACUACCCAGAAAGGGACGGCUAACUACGUG